AGUGAACGCUGGCGGCAUGCUUUACACAUGCAAGUCGAACGGCAGCGGGGAGGAGCUUGCUUCUCUGCCGGCGAGUGGCGAACGGGUGAGUAAUACAUCUGAACGUGUCGAGAAGAGGGGGAUAACCACCCGAAAGGGUUGCUAAUACCGCAUAAAUGCUGAGGAAGAAAGCUGGGGACCUAGGAAUAGGCCUAGCGCUUUUUUGGCGGCCGAUGUCGGAUUAGCUAGUUGGGGAGGUAAAGGCUCACCAAGGCGAAGAUCUGUAGCGGGUCUGAGAGGAUGAUCCGCCACACUGGAACUGAGACACGGCCCAGACUCCUACGGGAGGCAGCAGUGGGGAAUUUUGGACAAUGGGGGCAACCCUGAUCCAGCCAUGCCGCGUGUAUGAAGAAGGCCUUAGGGUUGUAAAGUACUUUUGUUAGGGAAGAAAAGCAAGCUGUGAAUAACGGCUGAUACUGACGGUACCUAAAGAAUAAGCACCGGCUAACUACGUG
rnacentral:rRNA from 1 species